rnacentral:rRNA from 1 species
ACGGAAGGCAGCAGUAAGGAAUCUUGCACAAUGGGGGAAACCCUGAUGCAGCAACGCCGCGUGAACGAUGAAGGCCUUAGGGUUGUAAAGUUCUGAUCUGGGGGAAGAAGAAAGUGACGGUACCCCAGGAGAAAGCCCCGGCUAAAUACGUGCCAGCAGCCGCGGUAAUACGUAUGGGGCAAGCGUUAUCCGGAAUUAUUGGGCGUAAAGAGUGCGUAGGUGGUUACCUAAGCGCAAGGUUUAAUCUUGAGGCUCAACCUCAUUCUGCCUUGCGAACUGGGCUACUUGAGUGCUGGAGGGGAAAGCGGAAUUCCCAGUGUAGCGGUGAAAUGCGUAGAUAUUGGGAAGAACACCGGUGGCGAAGGCGGCUUUCUGGACAGUAACUGACACUGAGGCACGAAAGCGUGGGGAGCAAACAGGAUUAGAUACCCUGGUA